rnacentral:rRNA from 1 species
AAUCAACGCUGGCGGCGUGCCUCAGACAUGCAAGUCGAACGAUUAAGACUCCCUUCGGGGAGUGCAUAAAGUGGCGCACGGGUGAGUAACACGUAAGUAAUCUGCCCUCGAGUGGGGAAUAACACCGGGAAACCGGUGCUAAUACCGCAUAAUGCAGCGGCACCGCAAGGUGACAGUUGUUAAAGGAGCAAUCCGCUUGAGGAGGAGCUUGCGGCAGAUUAGCUAGUUGGUAAGGUAAUGGCUUACCAAGGCUACGAUCUGUAACCGGUCUAAGAGGACGGUCGGUCACACUGACACUGAAUAACGGGUCAGACUCCUACGGGAGGCAGCAGUCGGGAAUUUGGGCAAUGGGCGAAAGCCUGACCCAGCAACGCCGCGUGAAGGAUGAAGUAUUUCGGUAUGUAAACUUCGAAAGAAUGGGAAGAAUAAAUGACGGUACCAUUUAUAAGGUCCGGCUAACUACGUGCCAGCAGCCGCGGUAAUACGUAGGGACCAUGCGUUGUUCGGAUCUACG